rnacentral:rRNA from 1 species
UUUGACCGAUUUCUUCGGAAUGAAGUUUUAGUGACUGAGUGGCGGACGGGUGAGUAACGCGUGAGGAACCUGCCUUGAAGAGGGGGACAACAGUUGGAAACGACUGCUAAUACCGCAUAAGCCCACGAUCCGGCAUCGGGCUGAGGGAAAAGGAUUUAUUCGCUUCAGGAUGGACUCGCGUCCAAUUAGCUAGUUGGUGAGGCAACGGCCUACCAAGGCGACGAUCAGUAGCCGACCUGAGAGGGUGACCGGCCACAUUGGGACUGAGACACGGCCCAAACUCC